AACGAACGCUGGCGGCAUGCCUAACACAUGCAAGUCGAACGAGACCUUCGGGUCUAGUGGCGCACGGGUGCGUAACGCGUGGGAACCUGCCCUUAGGUUCGGAAUAACUCCCCGAAAGGGGUGCUAAUACCGGAUAAUGUCUUCGGACCAAAGAUUUAUCGCCUUUGGAUGGGCCCGCGUUGGAUUAGCUAGUUGGUAGGGUAAAAGCCAACCAAGGCGACGAUCCAUAGCUGGUCUGAGAGGAUGAUCAGCCACCCUGGGACUAUGACACGGCCCAGACUCCUACGGGAGGCAGCAGUGGGGAAUAUUGGACAAUGGGCGAAAGCCUGAUCCAGCCAUGCCGCGUGAGUGAUGAAGGCCUUAGAGUUGUAAAGCUCUUUUACCCGGGAUGAUAAUGACAGUACCGGGAGAAUAAGCUCCGGCUAACUCCGUG
rnacentral:rRNA from 1 species